rnacentral:rRNA from 1 species
UUACGCUGUUAUCCCUAAGGUAAUUUAAUCUUAUAAUCAAAAUCAAUGGAUCAAGCAACUAUAAAUUAAUAUAACCAAAAUAAAGAGGGGUUAAACUAUAUCCCUCUCAUCGCCCCAACAAAACAUAUAAGCCCACUCAAUUAAACAAAACAAACAAUAAGAAAAAUAGACCAAAUGUUAAACUCUAUAGGGUCUUCUCGUCCCAUAAAAACAUCUAAGAAUUUUAACUCAAAAACCAAAUUCAAUAAAAUAUUCACAACUUAAGACAGCUCGUGUCUCGUCAAGCCAUUCAUUCCAGAUCACAAUUAAAGAACUAAUGAUUAUGCUACCUUUGCACGGUCAAAAUACCGCGGCCCUUCAACACUUCAAGUCAGCGGGCAGGCCAUACUUCAAAAACUAACAAGAAAAGAUGUUUUUGAUAAACAGGCG